rnacentral:rRNA from 1 species
AAAUAAAUAAUUAUUUAAUUUUUUUAAUUAAGAAAAAUUUAAAAAAAAUAAUUUUUAUUUUUAUUAGUAUUUUAUGAAAAAAUAAGAUUUAUGAUAGUUUAUUAGUAUUGUGAAAGAAAGUUUUAAUUUUAGAAAAAGAAAAUUUUAUUUUUUGUACCUUGUGUAUCAGGGUUUAUUAAAUAAAAUUUAUGAAUUAUAAUUUUCUCGAAUCAAAAAGAGUUAUGAUUUUAUAUUUUUUAUUGUUAAAUAAAUAUUAUUAAUAGGAUUAUAGAAGUGAAAUGCUAGACGAUUUUUGAUAUAUCUAGUUUUUAAAGAAAAAAAUUUAAUUUUUUUUAUAUUUAUUAUUAAGAUUAAUAGAAAUUGUUAUAAUAAUAUAAUUUUAAAUUUUUAGGGAUGAGCUUAAAAAUUAAUUUAUAAAAUUGAACAAAAUAAAUAAAUUAAUAAGUAGGAUUAUAAGUUUUUAUCUUUAAGAGUGUUUUAUAACUGUUUAAAUAUAAGAGAAAGAUUUAUAUACAAAUAUUUAUAUUUUUUAUUUAAAUUUAGAUUUUAAUUAAAAAAAUUUAGAAAUAAUGAUAAAAUUAGUAUAAAAUUAUUUAUGGAAUAAAUUAAUUUUUUAGGUUAAUUAAAGGAACUCGGCAAAAAUAUUUUUCACCUGUUUAUUAAAAACAUGGCCUUUUGAUUAUAAUUUAAGGUCGAGCCUGCCCAAUGAGUAGUUAAAUGGCUGCGGUAAUUUGACCGUGCAAAGGUAGCAUAAUCAUUAGUUUUUUAAUUGAAAGCUGGAAUGAAAGGUUUGAUGAGAAAAUAACUGUCUCUAGUUAAAUUAGUUAGAAUUUUAUUUUUAAGUAAAAAAGCUUAAAUUUGUAUAGAAGACGAGAAGACCCUAUAGAGUUUUAUAUAAGUUUAUAUUUAUUAUUUUUAGGAUUAGUAUUUAAAUGUAAACUUAUAUUUAGUUGGGGUGAUUGAAAAAUUAAAAAAACUUUUUUUGUAAAGGAACAUUUAUUUAUGAGUAGUUGAUCCAAAAUUUUUGAUUAGAAGAAUAAAUUACCUUAGGGAUAACAGCGUAAUUUUUUUUUAGAGAUCUAAUCGAAAAAAAAGAUUGCGACCUCGAUGUUGGAUUAAAAUAAAGGGUUGGUGUAGGAGCUAACCUAUUAGGUCUGUUCGACCUUUAAAAUUUUACAUGAUCUGAGUUUAAACCGGCGUAAGCCAGGUUGGUUUCUAUCUCUAUAAAAAUAAAAUAUUUUAGUACGAAAGGACCAAGUAUUUGAUUAAUAAUUUUUGUUUAGAAUAAUAUUA